ACUUUCAACAACGGAUCUCUUGGUUCUGGCAUCGAUGAAGAACGCAGCGAAAUGCGAUAAGUAAUGUGAAUUGCAGAAUUCAGUGAAUCAUCGAAUCUUUGAACGCACAUUGCGCCCUUUGGUAUUCCGAGGGGCAUGCCUGUCCGAGCGUCAUUAC
rnacentral:rRNA from 3 species